ensembl:antisense 4921504A21Rik RIKEN cDNA 4921504A21 gene
GUCUGGUCGUCCUGGAUGCAAGAAUAAGGUUAGAGAGGUUGAGUUAAUGUUUGAGGCAUCAUUCCUUACAUGCUCCAGAGCACAGAUUCUUAACUUGCAAUCUGAGGACUUUUCAACGACAAGGUAUGGCCUACUACCUUCCUUUCUGUAUGAUCUGGGCAAACCGACCGGUGGUGGCAAGAGUAGUGUCAAUGAAGUGAUCCACACAGCAAGAGAGGCAGUUUCAGUGCGGGAGUCUAGCUGAUUUCCUGGCUUCUCCAUGCACUUAUCUCAACAUAGUUCCACGAAGUGAUGCACCUGCGCAGUGAACCCUGCCUUCUGCUGCUCGACAGCCACCAGGCUUUGUAACUCAGUUUCACCAAGCUCUGCCAUUGUCAGCGUCAAGCGCUUCGCUGUGGUACGCAUGCGUGGUCCUGAAAGCAACUUUUGCACUUUAUCAUCAACUCUAAGAUACUCAGGGGCUUCUAUCAAUGAUGAGACACAUCUGCAGAAACCCAUACUCCUUCCAUAGGAUCACACGAUCCUUGUCCAAGGGCGAACACACAGAACAUUGUUCAAACCAUACCAAUCCUGACCGGAGAGAACAGAGACAAACUGACUCACAGGAGAGAGGACCUAAGUACUUUAAUACAUUUUUUGAAAUUAUUAUAAAUUAUUUUACAAUAUCCAGAGCAAAUGAAACUAAUUUAAAAUAUUUUGUAAUACACAAGUCCCCAGAAAUACUUUGUGAAGUUAAAAAUAAAAUUUAAAAAAAUG